ACGAACGCUGGCGGCGUGCCUAAUACAUGCAAGUAGAACGCUGAAGAGAGGAGCUUGCUCUUCUUGGAUGAGUUGCGAACGGGUGAGUAACGCGUAGGUAACCUGCCUUGUAGCGGGGGAUAACUAUUGGAAACGAUAGCUAAUACCGCAUAACAAUGGAUGACACAUGUCAUUUAUUUGAAAGGGGCAAUUGCUCCACUACAAGAUGGACCUGCGUUGCAUUAGCUAGUAGGUGAGGUAAUGGCUCACCUAGGCGACGAUACAUAGCCGACCUGAGAGGGUGAUCGGCCGCACUGGGACUGAGACACGGCCCAGACUCCUACGGGAGGCAGCAGUAGGGAAUCUUCGGCAAUGGGGGCAACCCUGACCGAGCAACGCCGCGUGAGUGAAGAAGGUUUUCGGAUCGUAAAGCUCUGUUGUAAGUCAAGAACGGGUGUGAGAGUGGAAAGUUCACACUGUGACGGUAGCUUACCAGAAAGGGACGGCUAACUACGUG
rnacentral:rRNA from 1 species